GAACGGUAACAGGUUAAGCUGACGAGUGGCGAACGGGUGAGUAAUGUAUCGGAACGUGCCCAGUCGUGGGGGAUAACUGCUCGAAAGAGCAGCUAAUACCGCAUACGACCUGAGGGUGAAAGCGGGGGAUCGCAAGACCUCGCGCGAUUGGAGCGGCCGAUAUCAGAUUAGCUAGUUGGUGGGGUAAAGGCCUACCAAGGCGACGAUCUGUAGCUGGUCUGAGAGGACGACCAGCCACACUGGGACUGAGACACGGCCCAGACUCCUACGGGAGGCAGCAGUGGGGAAUUUUGGACAAUGGACGCAAGUCUGAUCCAGCCAUGCCGCGUGCGGGAAGAAGGCCUUCGGGUUGUAAACCGCUUUUGUCAGGGGAAGAAAGGAUCCUUCUAANUAAGGGGUCUGAUGACGGUACCUGAAGAAAUAGCANCCGGCUACUACGUG
rnacentral:rRNA from 1 species